GCAAGAAAUGUGUCCUAGAAGGGGCAUGUGGUAAGGGAGAAGAGGCAAGAGGAGCAUGCUACACGAACCAAAUUCAGAAGGAAUCCCAGAAAUAUGAGAGGUACGAAUUCAGCUGGGACGACCUGGGCAAGUACAUGGCUGCUGAGAAGAGACUAAGGCCUGGUGACAUCUGUUCAUCAUACCAGUGUUACUGCAAUUUAAAGAUCAGUUUUGUUACAGAAAGAGGACAGGUUAACAGCGAUGGAGAUAGGGUGGCCAGAGAGGUGACAUCUGAGCAGGACGGAAUGAAGGGAAGAAGUCAUGUGGAAGCCCUGAAGCAGAAGGGAGCUUGCUUGUCUGAGGAAGACUGCAAGUGAGCAAGGAGCCAAGUGGGAGGAAAUGAAAUCUCAGCGAUGUUUUUCCAUCAUACAGAUACAGGUUGAGCAUUUAAUUUCUUAUUGAUUGUGUAAGUUCCUAUAUUGAUGUCAUAAUUUCAAACCCUGAGUAGGACCAGUAUCUUACUAUUAUAUUUUUGUAGUUUACAAAUGAGGGAAAACUAGAAACACGGGGUGGAGGACUGUUGCAAUGAGAGAAUGUUCUGGAGUCAGAGAAGCUGGCCUGGAAUUCAGGGACCUGCCAUUUGUUAACCUGUAUACCUUGGGCAAGCCACCUAGCUGCCAAUAGCUGUUUCUCUGACUGAAAAUAGAAAUCAUGAUGUCCAUCCCUUUCCCCUGGGUUACAUGGCAAUCAGACAAGGUGGUUUGUGUGAAAACUGCAAGUUCAUCUCUCGGUAUAUGGUAGCUGAGAAACAGAAAGAAAACUUAAAAGUAUGUUUAACAGUAUUUUAUUCACAAUGAC